CCCUCUCUUCAUAAGCACGAUCAGCAGCCUCAUCAGCAAGCUUAGCCGCAUCCUUGGCAGCCUGAUUAGCAUCCGUAGGAAGAACCGGUGGAGUCGGCGGAGUAGGGGCCACCGGAGGAACCGGACGUGGCGGACAGCAGACCUCGCCAGAAAGAACACCCUAGAGACGGAUGCCACGCAUGUGAAUGCGCAUGAAGCCAGUGAACUCGGUGUAGUUAGUACCAUCGAAGAUCACCGGAUAGCGAGGGACAGCAACAUAGCCUGAGGAUAGAGACAUCGCACCCUUUUUUUUUAUCUUUUUUUUUACAAUCGCGUGGAAGCCCGAUCCGAUCUGGAGGGCAGAAUCGAGCAGCUAGGCGACGGGGUCCGAUCGGGAGGCGAGCAGGAAGAGGAGCAGCUCGGCAGCUGGUAAUUUGGAGCAAGGCGUCACGUGAAGCUGGAGCUGGAGCGAUCUGGAGUUCACGUGAAGCUGGAGCGACCUGGAGUGCACGUGAAGCUGGAGCGGUCUGGAGCGAUCUGGAGGACACGCGGGUCGACCGCCUUGUCACGUGGGCUGGAACGCUUCGAUCUGGCAAGACUGCGGGAGUCGCCGAUCCAAGCGAGAGAUAAAAAGGGGGGGCGCGAGCAACACCAGAUCCGAGAGGACAACGAGCAGGCGACUGUGAUCUGACUUCGAGUGCGAUCGGGAGCGGAGAGAGAAGCAGCCGCGGCGCCACGGGAGGAUCAAUCACACGAGUUGCGGCGUGUAAAAAAUUGACCUAGCUCUAAUACCAUGUUAGGAAAGCAACUUGUAUUCCCAUGAGGCCAUAGGCCGAUAUAUAUACAUGUACAGGUGUGGAACAUAUGCAGAAAACCCCUUAUACAACGGGAUUAAUACAAAGGGGUACAUGACUUAAUAUUAUAACUAACAGUAUGUACCUAUUGUUCAUUGCAUUCGAGGGAGAGGACAACAAGAGUAAGAGAGCCUUGGGACACGAAGGCAGUAGCAUGCAGCGCCAGGUCAAGCGCACCGACCUCGACGACAAGAGACCAACCAGUACACUUAACAAGAGAUUUUGUUGCAACAACACAGUGCUGACAAUUUUUGUUUUUGGAAUUUGUCAAUGAAAUUCUGCUCGAUCAGGGUUCUUAAAUAUAUGUUCACCAAUUCAGAUGAACCACUUAUUUUAUGUGCAUACUGGAUAUUUGUCAUAUAUGUAGAAGGUUCUACAAUAUAUCAAAGAAAAACAAAACAGAGAGGAUGCUGGGGCUCGGGCAAGGGAGGCUGCGCUCAGUGCAGUACUGCGGUGGAAUAUAUCUUUGGUGUUAUUGAAUCUUUAACCAAGACAUGGCUGGAGGCUGGAGCACACUAAUCCUGAUCGAAUUGGUCAUCUCACUUUAUAGGAGGAGUAAUUGGUGAGAUUUUUUCGGUCUCUUGUAUUUUACUUUCCAGAAAAUCUGCAUGAUGGUACUCAAAAUUUAUGAAUGGUUUUAUUGGUAUGUCAUGGUGUGGAUCGAGAUGAUGUUUAGUAGACUCCCUCAUCACCUUGGCAGUGCUAUUGAUCGCUCACAGCUUGAAUCUGAAUGUGCUUCUUCCAGUCUAUGCUCCCUCUCUUUGGUUCAUUGGCCUCCCAAGACUACUUUGGUAUGAAAGUAAAGCCUUCACUUACUGCCAGUGUAAUUUUGGCUAUUUUUUUUUCGUUUCAUUAAACAUAUACGUUUCUGGAGUGAUCUUCAUAACAUACACAGUAAAAUUUGUUUUUCUCACAAGUUGGAUCACCGCAUAACUUAUUGGUGGUUGCACUAGCUGAGCUUAUGUUAUAAGUUCUGGUGCGCAUUGUAUAUCAUAGAUAAAGUGUAUGUAAUCUUCUUGGUGAGUAGGUUUUAGAAUGAUAUAAAAUUUAAAUAAUCGAGCUAGCGUUAUAAUGCUUCAGGUUUUUUCUUUCAAUCAAUUAACUUUUAACUGCUCACUAAUUGGUGCCCAUGCAUGUUCUGUUUUAUUUUAUUCACUUCAUUAAACAUAUAAGUUUCUGGAGUGAUCUUCAUAACAUACAGAGUCAAAUUUGUUUUUCUCACAAGCUGGAUCAUCGCAUAACUUAUUGGCGGUUGCACUAGCUGAACUUUGUUAUAAGUUCUGGUGCGCAUUGUAUAUAAUAGAUACAGUGUAUGUAAUCUUCUUGGUGAGUAGGUUUUAGAAUUAUAUAAAUUUUAAAGAAUUGAAGCUAGCAUUAUAAUGCUUCAGGUUUUUUCUUUCAAUCAAUUAACUUUUAACUGCUCACUAAUUGGUGCCCAUGCAUGUUCUGUUACAAUUGAAGGUAAUUUACAAGAAAUGUAGAUGUUUCCUAGCAGGAAUUCCAUACCAUUUCAUGGCCAUUGAAACUUGCCUAUUAACCACGAGAAACCACUUUAGCUCUCUGUGUACGUUGAUCAUUGUAGUGCAGUGUUUGAUAUGUUGCUAAUAGCCUUUCCCUUGGCUCUUCCUCUCUAUUUAGUUAUUCCUCGAAUCAAGUGCAUGGUUAUUUUGCUAUUGCAGGUUUUGUUAUUGUUAUAAUUGUUUACUCACUUUGUUCUAGGAUAUAAAGGCAUAUUAGUUAUUCCUUUAUCAUGCCUAUAAUGUUCUAAACUUUGAAAUCAUAUGGGAUAAAGAUCACGUCUCUUUUUAUUUUGACAUGGCCACCUUUAUCGUUAUACAGUAUUUUUUAUGAAAAACAAUGCAGAUAUUAUUUACAGGUGCAAAUUUGUAUCAGGACUUGAAAAUUUGUAUUCACUGCAUGUUCUCUUAUAUACUCUGUCAUGGUGUACUUCAUUUUAAGCUUCAGAACUAGGAGAUUGGUUUAGAGGUUAUGUGCCUUUGUUUUGUAGUAGUAAGUUGUGGAUGUCAAUGUCAGUUCUUCUGCUGCAAAGUUGGGGAAAGAAUGGCAGUGCAAUCAUGUUUCCUCCGAGCACACAACAUCACAGACGUGACGAUGAAGCAAUGACAUUGUCUGGCUAUUCAUACAAUUCUAUAGAAGAUGCAAUGGACGUUGCAGCUGCUCGAGUAAUGAAAUAUAUGGAGACCAUGCGUGCCAAGGUAUUGAAAGACUAUAGUUACAACGAGCUGCAACAAACAAAGGAAAGAGAACUGCAUCUGAUUGGUUUGUCGGGACAAAGAAAAAGAAAUCAAAGAACAGGCUCUGAAGAUUAGAGAACUUAGCAAAGACUUUGCAGACUACUUAUAUCAGGUUAAAAGCACUUCUUCUGAGAUUCACCACCCAGCUAAACGAAGUGUAUGCUCAGCCAAUUCCAUAAGUGGUCGCGAGCUCGACAAAGCGGCUAUAGAUAUUCACAAUGCAAAUGCUCAUCUUGGCCAGUUGAGUGAAAACUCUAUGCAGGUAAUCCAAAACACAUCGGUAUAUCCACUUAGGAGAGGAUCUACUUCCACAGCCUAUGUGCCUUCAGAAGAUGCCGAUACUACCAGCUACAACAGCCUUCUUUGAAUAUCAAGUGAUUACCUUUGUCUAGAGAAGAUCACUGCCAUAGUUCAUCUGUCAGUCUUUCCAGAGCUUCUAUCCUGUUGAUGGACUUUGAACUUAAGCUAUCCCCGGCUAUGUAUGUUAGUUGCGGCAAUCGCAUGUAUAUAGAUUAAACCAUCAGCUACGUUCUAUGCAUUGUAAUAUAUAACGCUAUGUAACAUCAUAUCCAAGUAUCAUUUUCCUUAUGCUUCAAAAAUUUAUGAUUGGUCUCUUAAUAUUCUUA